rnacentral:lncRNA from 10 species
GCCAGCUUGGAUUUUCUCCUGCUCACCCAGCUGUCCCCAGGAACCCCUUGUGUGAGUAAUUAACUUUUUAAAAGUGUAGAAUAUUAUGGAAAACCUAUUUUUUUUGCAAAUAAACAAAGAUCUGUGGCAACUUCAAAAAUGAAGGAAACAAGCACCUCCGUUGGAACUGUUCAACUUUCAACUUAAUUGGAGAGCUAAAAGUGGCCCUCAUUGAGUUACCCUGUGAGGAACUGAUACAAAAUGCUGAUCUGGCUGCUGUCAAGAGGAUGAAAUAGAUAAAGCAAGACAUAGACAAGUUCAGAGGUACUCGGUGUGCAGUGGUGAACAGAAUAGCUGUAUUGUCUGUACUCACGAGUAAUAGGAUUCUAGGAAAAAAUUCACGGCAUGCUCAGAUUUGAAAAAAAUAAAGAAUGCUGAGAAAAUAGAUUGGGUGAGAGAGUACACAAGAGGAAUCUGGAAUUGCAACAGAUGAAGAUGGCCUGGAUGCAGAUUUACAUUACAAUGUCUGAAUUCCUGGGAACUGUCAUAUUGUUCACCAUAGGAUAAUUAUUGUGAGCAAUAAA